UCCUGCUUGUUUUUCUCUCUCCAGCCCACGGGGUUUGUGCUCUUGGGCUGAGAUUUGGAUCAUUUGUCCUUGGUGCCCAGCUGGAGCAGGAAGUGUUUUGUCUCCCUGCUCUGUGCACAGAGCUCACCAUCCCCUGAUGUGAAGCUCAGACCCACACACUAAAGCAGCUCAGAAUGUGAAAAAUACAAAAGCCAAAACCUGAGGCAUCACAGAUGAUGGAAAACCAGCUCAGAUCUGGUUUCCUCAUUGCCCACAGGGAUUUCUCUAUUUCCUCACAGUAGGGUGUUUCUGAAGAUUAUGUGGGAAAAGGAGAGAUUAAUCCACGGGAGGAAUGAGCAGACAUUAAUUUGCCAUCUGG